AUUUACAAUAUGGAAAAAACAAUAAUUGUUGCAAACUUGAGCUUUUUUUUUAUAUAACGUGAUGAAUCCCAUUUAAAAAAGAAACGUAUAAUAUACUUGUAGGCCCGGCCCUUAGAGGAAGCCGAAGAAAGCAAGGGCUUCUGACCUUCAUAAAUAUAUAUUAGUUUUGGCCAUCAAUGUACAAAGUAUGAUUUAGUUUAGUGGUAUAAAUGUUGGUGUUUAUAUCUCAAUAACCCGGGUUAGAGCCAUGGGCUUGACACUUUUUCAUAGUUCUAAAAAGUAGGGUUCACAAAUUGUUGACGUGGCGCGCUGAGGAUUGAGCGAAGUACACCAUUUUAAUGUAGAUUUUAAUCAUUAAUAUUGUUUACUAAUAUAUAAAUUACUUAAUUUAACUGAUUUAGUAAGUUCAAACAUGUGGUAGAGAAACGGAUCAGAAAAAAGGAAAUUUUGUUUGUGUGUUAUCGGUUAUAAUAAGUUACUAGAUUUUGAUCCGCGCUUUUAAAGCGCGGGUUUAUUUUUCUCUUAAUGUUUUUUAUAAAAUUUGGAAAAUUUUGUGACAUGUAAUAUGUUCAUGUAUUUUUUAUGAUAUUAAUUUAUUUUUAUUUUAUUCCUCAGUAUUUAUAUAUAUAAAAUUGAACUUGAUUUUUAAAAAAAAAACUUAAAGUGGUAUUUUUUCAAUCAAUCUUCAUUUAUAUGUACCGACUUUUUCAAAGAGUUUUUUUUAACAGAUUUAACUUGUGAAUAAACUAUUAUUAUAUUAUUUUUAAAAAGUUUACUUAUAUUGAGAAAAAGAAAUAUUAAUAAUUAUGUGUGAAUGUUUAUUAAUAUAAAUAUUAUAACUUGGCCCAAAUGGUCCAAACGAAAAUAUUUGUACAGACAAAACUCGGCCCAAUAUAAAACUCGACCCAAAUGAAAUAUUUGUUCCGACAAAAUGAACUUCCGCGUGCUGAUCUUGGCCCAAAAUAAUUUGGAAGUAUUCUGGUCAUAACUUGCAAGAUAUUUUACCAUUAGUUUGGCCCAAUCAGUAUUUUAUGUAAAUAUCCAUUUUAUGUAUUUUAUGUUGAUAAAACCCAUGGUAAAAUAAAUAUUUUAGAUUUCUACCGACAAAACUCGUGGUCUUUGACCAUCACGUUAAAAAAAACAGUAAAGGAAAGAUAAUUCUUUUGUCUGGGACGUUUCUUUUUCGGUAAAAUUGUCUUCAGGUUCACCUCUGAAAUGACGAUUGAGAUGCCAUUCAAAGCUCCAAAAACACAAAUCCAUGGUGGUAAUGACGGAAUCAAGGUUGCUUGAAGAGGUGAACACGUUCUGUAGCAAAUGAAAGAGCAACCGAUUAAUCUGAUUUGGAUCAAAGUCAAACCGACGAUUCAGCACACGGAAGAUCCACCAAGUGCUUCAACAUUUUCCGAUCUAUUUAGAUCGAAGGGAUGUUUGAGAAGAACCAUGGUUUUGAGAUGAUUGUCGAUAUUUGAAAGACAACAAAAUGGAACAAUGUACUCUCGGAGAAAAUGAAAUAUUCCGAUCACAACUAUCAAAGAGAUGUCAUUCGUCUAUGGACAACAACAUUAUUUUAAAUUCAAAGAUAAGUUACUUCCUGAUACUUUUUCUUCUUUUACAUUAAUAUAAAAGUGUAACUUACAUAUAAAUAUAACUUGAUUAGUUACAGAUUUAUUGACAUGGGACAUAGAUGAGAAACUUUAGGUGUUUUAUAUUUGAGUCCGUUGACUAAAAAGUGUUACAAUUCUUGACCUGGUCAUGCAGUUAAAAGUUUGAAGACACAGAUUAAUUCAGCUGAAGGACCAUGGGACAAAUACAUAAUGCCAAAGCAAUACGAACCAAUAAGAGCCGGUUUACUUAAGGUGCAAGAAAUCAGUAGAUGAUUUGGACAUGGCAACAAUGGAAUCUCCCUCAUAGAUACGCCCAUAUAGAACUCCCCUUGAUAAAGUGGUAUUUUGAUUGGUAAUAAGAAGAGAGGUGAAUUUAAAGAUUCACCCUAGGGGUGAACCUAAGUCUUGUUCUCCAUGCUCCAACAGGAAGAAUGCGGCCUUUACUCUCCAUCUUCAUCGGAUAGCACCAUCUCGAGGGUGUCCCCGUGCACUGGGUUGUACUGCUUCCAAGAGUGCAGAACCUUCACAUGUACUUUCCAGCCACUCUUGAAGGGUUUCACAUCUUUCAAAGGGGUCACUUUCAUUGCGGAAGACAUUUUUUUUUUGAUUGCUAAUGUAGUUGUGAGUAAAUGUGAGAAAUCUUAGGCAUGUUGUAGGUGUUUAUAUAGCAGUAGGUUAAUCGAUGGUUCUAAAUGUCUGGUCAAAAAAAUAUCUCUUGUAUAUUCUUAAUUCAAUAUAGGAAACCCUUAGA